ACACGGAUGGGUUGCGCCACCUCUAAGGUGUAAAACCACCAAGGGGCCUCUGGUGGCAAUGAGAAAUGCUGUACAGUAUCUCACAAUGCCGGCCGAGGGGAGAAGCGCAUGCGAAUGCGUUGUUCUCGUGACACGACCGAGGGAGUUUACGGUCCCCGCAGGAAUGACAUUUCCCGGGGACGGCGACCUCAACAAAGAGGAACGGCCCUGGAUAAAACCCGAACAUGUGGCGGCUCUAAAGGCAGCACACGGGGGCCCAAGCUGUACACCUGUGCGCACGCUGUACACCUGUGCGCACCCUGUACACCUGUGUGCACGCUGUACACCUGUGCGUGCCCUGUACACCUGUGCGCGCGCGGUAAAUAAAGCCUGCGACGGAACCACGUUGGCAGAGGUUCACAGCACCGCCCGAUAACACCUCGCCACCUUCGCCAUUGCAUUCCGAACAUCGUCACGGCCAUUGCCGCCACCUCCUAGUCGCCGUUGCUCUGAGUCUACGUCGGCCAUACGGAGGAAGAAGAAGACAUGCUGUUUCAAGUGGCUGUCGUUGUUGUUGUGUUUCUGUGUAAGAGCCUGUGACUGCAUCACCAGCAGGAGGAAGAAGAAGACAUGCUGUUUCAAGUGGCUGUUGUUGUUGUUGUGUGUUCUGUGUAAGAGCCUGUGACUGCAUCACCAGCAGUGCCUCCAAAUCUUGUGAGCCCUCGCAUGACUCGACCCGAAUGGACCUCACUUUUGCGUCUGUUUGUCCUUUUGCCCGUCUUCUAUCUUGUCCAUCGUUUCUCUUCAUCCACCCGCCCGUCCACCCCUCUCCGCACAAUUCAAUGCGCAUUUCAAUGCGAGCAUCACUAAUUGCAAGCACGUGAGCAUGCCGAUGCUGUAAUUAUGAAAGCACCUGACCAUACCCGCACAGGGCGGCGUUCUGCAAGACCCAGGCUCAUGCGUGUGGCUGAUGUGUUAGUCCUGUGGCUGAUGUGUUAGUCCUGUAGUUGAUGUGUUAGUCCUGUGGCUGAUGUGUUAGUCCUGUGGCUGAUGUGUUAGUCCUGUGGCUGAUGUGUUAGUCCUGUGGCUGAUGUGUUAGUCCUGUGGCUGAUGUGUUAGUCCUGUGGCUGAUGUGUUAGUCCUGUGGCUGAUGUGUUAGUCCUGUGGCUGAUGUGUUAGUCCUGUGGCUGAGGUGUUAGUCCUGUGGCUGAUGUGUUAGCCCUGUGGCUGAUGUGUUAGUCCUGUGGCUGAUGUGUUAGUCCUGUGGCUGAUGUGUUAGUCCUGUGGCUGAUGUGUUAGUCCUGUAGCUGAUGUGUUAGUCCUGUAGCUGAUGUGUUAGUCCUGUAGCUGAUGUGUUAGUCCUGUGGCUGAUGUGUUAGUCCUGUAGCUGAUGUGUUAGUCCUGUGGCUGAUGUGUUAGUCCUGUAGCUGAUGUGUUAGUCCUGUGGCUGAUGUGUUAGUCCUGUAGCUGAUGUGUUAGUCCUGUAGCUGAUGUGUUAGUCCUGUGGCUGAUGUGUUAGUCCUGUAGCUGAUGUGUUAGUCCUGUAGCUGAUGUGUUAGUCCUGUAGCUGAUGUGUUAGUCCUGUGGCUGAUGUGUUAGUCCUGUGGCUGAUGUGUUAGUCCUGUGGCUGAUGUGUUAGUCCUGUGGCUGAUGUGUUAGUCCUGUAGCUGAUGUGUUAGUCCUGUAGCUGAUAUGUUAGUUCUUUAGCUGAUGUGUAGUUGAUGUGUUAGUCCUGUGGCUGAUGUGUUAGUCCUGUGGCUGAUGUGUUAGUCCUGUAGCUGAUGUGUUAGUCCUGUAGCUGAUGUGUUAGUCCAGUAGCUGAUGUGUUAGUCCAGCAGCUGAUGUGUUAGUCCUGUGGCUGAUGUGUUAGUCCUGUAGCUGAUGUGUUAGUCCUGUGGCUGAUGUGUUAGUCCUGUGGCUGAUGUGUUAGUCCUGUGGCUGAUGUGUUAGUCCUGUAGCUGAUGUGUUAGUCCUGUAGCUGAUGUGUUAGUCCUGUAGCUGAUAUGUUAGUUCUUUAGCUGAUGUGUUAGUCCUGUGGCUGAUGUGUUAGUCCUGUAGCUGAUGUGUUAGUGCUGUAGCCCACGGCUACAAAGUGCUCACGUACAAUACAACCCUGUGACACAAUUCUCUUUUAUGCAGCGCCCCGGAAUUAAAAAAAAACACAACUUUAAAAAAAUCUGUUGGCCAAUUAUUUCGGCUGAACAAUAAGCCAACUCAAACACUUAAUAUGUUGUUUUUUUGUAUUUUUUUUAUUUUAAAAGAUUCAAUUAUGCCAGCAUUCCUGAUAUGGUUUGUAAUACAGUUCCAGAAGCAGGCACCAUAAACAAUGAAAGGUGCUUGCCCUUUCCUGAUUGGAGGAAUUGCCAAAUGGUUACCAUUUACCAAGGGGUACGUAUGUACGUAUGUUCAACUUCUUUCGCACCGUGCGUAGCCAACCGAGAUAAUCGGAGGUGCGGGGAAAGGACAACAAACUAAACACAAAAAAGCAAUUCUAAAGAAAUUAGUUCUCAUUCUAGAGUAAUAAAAACGGGGAUAUCUCCAGUGGCUUCAUAAUAUCUGAAGCCACGCAAUUUGGGGGGGACAGCUGUCCGCACGGAUGCAAUUGCAGUCCCGCUCCGCUCUCCUGCCAUGUGUUAGUUAGUCACCGACAAACAGCUGGGCGGCUAGUUGGCCGCUCCGCACACGCUUCCCUGCAAUCCACCAACCCUCGCCAACGCGGCGUCACGGGCGUGCGCCAACACGCUCGGGCCAUAUUGAGGGGGGCAACCGGUGGAGCAAAGAGUGUACAGGGCUCACGGUUUUGACGCAAGAUAAUCUUACCGUGUCGGGUGAGCAUUAAUUUCCCUUAAUUACCGUUACCGCCGCUGUUGAAAUGUCUUAAGUGAGAGUAAUGUGCGCUUUUUUUAUUUUCACGUGGCCUCAUACUUUUUGGCUCUCCUUGGAGGAACACUUCAAUCGUCAAUUUUCAUGACAAAUGAGUCAAAAAGAGUGGUCGGGUAUGGUUGGAGCCGUUACGCAAUGAUGCAGUGCAGGAUAACUCAAUUUGUACGCCUGGUUGCCAGACUAAGAAGUGGGUGGCACGUUUCCGUUGAGUGUUCUCCUGCUGCGAGAAAAGCCACCCUUCACAUUAUGGAAUUAGGCAAUUUGAUGCAGUGAAUGCAUUUCUUUUCCACGUGAGUUUGCAUCGAACCAGACGGCAUAAUUUACAGCUGUCAUUGUCCUCGGAUCACCGCUAAGAUUUACGGACAGUCCUCAACAAUGUGCAUCGUCAUAAUCGUCAGUGGCAUUAUUGUCUGGCUUGCACCACAGCCACAGCAGGUCACAGCUGCAGAUGUAGUAAUCACAAUGCCAUAUUUAUUAGUAACCUAGAAAAGCAUCACUGAGCUUCGUGACUCUGUUUUGAGAGCGUCCAUUUGGAAUGCUCACAGACACAGAACAACCUCUCUGGAAGACGACAUCACAGAACUACUGCUGAGGCCCUUUCCGCCGCAUUAACCUUUCACUCGUGCGCCUCAUUACCGACGCCUCCGCCGACUCACCUGCUGCCCGGGAGCGCGUACCUCGCUCGGGCCGGCCCUGUUGGCCUUGGGGGGCGGUGAGAGGCGGCGUGGUGCCGCUCGCGCCGGGCGAGACAAAUCGGUUAAACGCGGCAGCCCAAACGCGGGGAGGCUCUAAUAAACGUGAUAAAAACGCGCGAUGGUGCUCAGAUCGCGCGAGCACAUGGUCCCGGCGAACGCCGCUGGAGCGGAGGGCGGACGGGCGGGCGGACGACCCCCGGGGUCACGCCUGCGCGUCUCGCGGCCCGCUUCACAAAAGGGGCGCCGCACCAGGCGGGGCGCGGGGCUCCUCCGCUGGGGGUCCCCGGGCGGCGGCGGCGGCGGCGGCCCCCGCGAGAACAGCAGAUGGGCCCGCGCGGCCGGCGCCAACGCCCCUCCCAUUGGCCGAUUCACCAGCGGUCACGGCUGUAGAAUUAACUGAAAUCCCACGCGGCCGCCGGUGCCGACGGGGACUCGGACCCCCCUCCCCCGGGCCCCGCGCGGCGGUGCCGCGGAGACCCUGGCGGGUGCCCUCCUCCCCCUCCUGUGCGGCCGAGCCCGCCGGGGAUUAUGAUAAUAAUGAUGAUGAUGACGAUGCAAUUUGUAGCACGCUCUCGAUUUCCCGUGACACGUACAGCCGUGACUGUGCGGUGCCAAGCUCGGUGAUGGACUUUGUGAAUUUUUACAGGAAAUUAUUACAAAAGGAAAAACAUUUCUUCCGUGAAAAACAAUUCUGCUUCUUAUCUUGACAACGUGUGAAAGCAAGGUCCUGCGGUCAGCACCAACGUUCCGCUUCGAAUUUUCUUUUUUUUACAAUUGUCACAGAGCAGAGCCAAUUCACGGACAGUGUCUUCGUAGCAACAGAAUAACCCCCCCCCAAAUAAUGCACUGGGACCACUCGGGCAACCACGGUGGACUGAGCUCUUAGUUAACGCACUGGUAAAACUUUCCUAUUGAGUUGUAACUGGCUGGGUGAUGGAGUGCGCCAACCACCUUGGCUAUCAUGUGCAGGGGCAAAGCACGAGUCUAGCCCAUCUCACCCUUCCUCGUGAACUCUCCCCAACCUUGGCUGUGCUCACAGAACGCUUCGUCGGACUGGCUUGGUUCGCUUGGCUAUCACGGCCACAGUUUCUUAGCGAUGUUUUUACAUUCAUCCCUUUUUCGCGCAGAUCGUCGCGUAAAGUUCACAUUUGCUCGGACGGGACGCCAGAGCUCGACGUAGCUGAGCAACGUGGCGAGCGAUUAAAAUCUAUUUGCCCGUUGAGCCCUGCUGCGAGAUGCCACGAGCCGGGCGUAUUAGCGGUGCGCGGCUCCUCGAGAGGCUGGGACCAGGGAGCGCUUGGUACCAGGGAGCGCUUGGUUCCAGGGAGCGCUUGGUCCCAGAGAGCGCUUGGUACCAGGGAGCGCUUGGUCCCAGGGAGCGCUUGGUUCCAGGGUGCUCUUGGUCCCAGGGAGCGCUUGGUCCCAGGGUGCUCUUGGUCCCAGGGUGCUCUUGGUCCCAGGGAGCGCUUGGUCCCAGGGAGCGCUUGGUCCCAGGGAGCGCUUGGUACCAGGGAGCGCUUGGUCCCAGGGUGCUCUUGGUACCAGGGAGCGCUUGGUCCCAGGGAGCGCUUGGUCCCAGGGAGCGCUUGGUACCAGGGAGCGCUUGGUACCAGGGUGCUCUUGGUACCAGGGAGCGCUUGGUACCAGGGAGCGCUUGGUUCCAGGGAGCGCUUGGUCCCAGGGAGCGCUUGGUCCCAGGGAGCGCUUGGUUCCAGGGUGCUCUUGGUCCCAGGGAGCACUUGGUCCCAGGGUGCUCUUGGUCCCAGGGUGCUCUUGGUCCCAGGGAGCGCUUGGUCCCAGGGAGCGCUUGGUCCCAGGGAGCGCUUGGUACCAGGGAGCGCUUGGUCCCAGGGUGCUCUUGGUACCAGGGAGCGCUUGGUCCCAGGGAGCGCUUGGUCCCAGGGAGCGCUUGGUACCAGGGAGCGCUUGGUACCAGGGUGCUCUUGGUACCAGGGAGCGCUUGGUACCAGGGAGCGCUUGGUUCCAGGGAGCGCUUGGUCCCAGGGAGCGCUUGGUCCCAGGGAGCGCUUGGUUCCAGGGUGCUCUUGGUCCCAGGGAGCACUUGGUCCCAGGGUGCUCUUGGUCCCAGGGAGCGCUUGGUCCCAGGGAGCGCUUGGUCCCAGGGAGCGCUUGGUACCAGGGAGCGCUUGGUCCCAGGGUGCUCUUGGUACCAGGGAGCGCUUGGUCCCAGGGAGCGCUUGGUCCCAGGGAGCGCUUGGUACCAGGGAGCGCUUGGUACCAGGGUGCUCUUGGUACCAGGGAGCGCUUGGUCCCAGGGAGCGCUUGGUCCCAGGGAGCGCUUGGUCCCAGGGAGCGCUUGGCACGCGCUCGCCAGGACGGCGGCAGCGUAGCGGCCGAGCGGUGCGCACUUUUGCCGCCGAGUCGUCUGGGGAUCGAGUUUGCUCUUGAAUUCCUGGAGCGCAUUCUGUUAUUUUCGUGGGGAAAUUUACAGAAUAAAUAAUUGAUGAGGAUAAUUAAUUGGGUACGUUUGCCGUUUGCGCCACUUGCAGGGCGAUCGUCACGAAGGCGCCAUCGCCGUGGUUUCACAGUAGGGCGGCGAUGGUGCUGUCUGCGAUCCCAAUUGAGUAAUUUGCAGUGUAAUAUUUAAAAUUUGCCAAAUCUGGAUAUCUCUUCAUGUUUUCCAAUCUGCAGCAGAAUAUAUACAGUAUAACACAGUCAUGUAAUAAUAAUAUUUUAAGGAUCAACAGGUUUUUUUUUCAUGAGAAGAACAUCGCUGCAGGAGUACAGGGGUCAUAGGUCGGCGUCUGGAAAAGCCAUUCCCAUCAGAACUCCGCUUCUUUCUUCGGGCAACUCCCGAGUCACGGUCUCGGACUCCUGGGCAAAUUUACUACCUCCGUGGCCACUGCGACCACACCGGGGUUGGGUAGGCAGCAGGGGAGGGAGAGGGUGAGGGGGGGGGCAACUUUUAUUGCACCCCCCCCCCCAUUCCCACCGCAUUUCCGUAACGCCCCACACCUCCAUGCACCAGUCUGUUGGAAAAAUUUGCGUGAUAAACAGCUCGUCUUUGAAACCCAUUAUGCCCUCCCUCCCCCAACCCACGGCCUUUAGUCUGCUCCUUUGUUCAUUUUCGGCAAGGCCUUUACAAUCUGCUUGCCGGUUGAGGCGGCCCCCCUUCUCCGCUCAGUUAUUUAUACGGAUUGCGUUGUGGCUCUGCCGUCCACUCCUAAGCAACUGCACCGAAGCACAAUGGCGGCCUUUGUACGAGCUGAAUUCUCUGGAAUCUGUACCGUUUCGCAAAAGGCCAAGCGUUUGGCCAGCGCUCACGCGCGAAGCACCACUGGAUUGGCCCAGCGGUGAGAUCGUCCGGAGUGAGGUUGGGCACGCGCUUGGGAAUUUUGCAUCCCGCACCGCUGUCCAGCAACAGCGUCCCCGUUAACAAAGUGGCACUGCCCGCUACGAGUUGAGACAUUAAAGAUGAUGUCAUCAACUCGCAGAAGCUGACCUUCAGCAUGACGGUGUCGUCACGAGAAUUGAUGAACUUGUGGGGAGAGUUUUGCGGAUUUGUAUUUUACCAAGCACGGGAAGAAUAUAUGAUUUUUUUUACAAAUAUCACCGGAUGAGCGCUGGAAGGCGGGACGUUGCAGCGACGUGGUUGUGGGCAAAGUGACAGCGUAGCAUUGUGCACUUAGCAGCCAGUGCGCUCGCUCACCGCUCGGCACCUUCGAUCGUUUGAUCAUUCCGCUUGAGCUGAAGAGCAACCUGCAUUAGCGCCGCACGCCUUGGCGCUUCUCAAGAGGCCGGCAUCUGCAAGGCGAUUGGAGUGAGCAACUUUCAGCAGCACCACGUGGAAGAGCUGCAGGAAGACUGCGACGUCACCCCACACGUGAACCAGGU